rnacentral:rRNA from 1 species
UACGGGGGGAGCAAGCGUUGUUCGGAUUUACUGGGCGUAAAGGGCGCGUAGGCGGUCGUGACAAGUCACUUGUGAAAUCUCCGGGCUUAACUCGGAAAGGUCAAGUGAUACUGUCGGACUAGAGUACAGAAGGGGCAACUGGAAUUCUCGGUGUAGCGGUGAAAUGCGUAGAUAUCGAGAGGAACACCAAUGGCGAAGGCAGCUCGCUGGGACGGUACUGACGCUGAGGCGCGAAAGCCAGGGGAGCGAACGGG